GCUGGGAUAGCUCAGUUGGUAGAACAUGAAACUCUCAAUUUCAGGGUCGUGGGUUUGAAUCCCAUGUUGGGUG